rnacentral:rRNA from 1 species
UUUCCGGCGGGGGGAGGGGGUUAACCUGCAAGUCGAACGAUGAACCACUUCGGUGGGGAUUAGUGGCGAAGGGGUGAGUAACACGUGGGCAAUUUGCCCUUCACUCUGGGACAAGCCCUGGAAACGGGGUUUAAUACCGGAUAUCACUUUUGCAGGCUUCUGUGAGGGUUGAAAGCUCCGGCGGUGAAGGAUGAGCCCGCGGCCUUUCAGCUUGUUGGUGAGGUAAUGGCUCACCAAGGGGACGACGGGUAGCCGGCCUGAGAGGGCGACCGGCCACCCUGGGACUGAGACCCGGCCCAGAUUCCUACGGGAGGCAGCAGUGGGGAAUAUUGCACAAUGGGCGAAAGCCUGAUGCAGCGACGCCGCGUGAGGGAUGACGGCCUUCGGGUUGUAAACCUCUUUCAGCAGGGAAGAAGCGAAAGUGACGGUACCUGCAGAAGAAGCGCCGGCUAACUACGUGCCAGCAGCCGCGGUAAUACGUAGGGCGCAAGCGUUGUCCGGAAUUAUUGGGCGUAAAGAGCUCGUAGGCGGCUUGUCACGUCGGGUGUGAAAGCCCGGGGCUUAACCCCGGGUCUGCAUUCGAUACGGGCUAGCUAGAGUGUGGUAGGGGAGAUCGGAAUUCCUGGUGUAGCGGUGAAAUGCGCAGAUAUCAGGAGGAACACCGGUGGCGAAGGCGGAUCUCUGGGCCAUUACUGACGCUGAGGAGCGAAAGCGUGGGGAGCGAACAGGAUUAGAUACCCUGGUAGUCCACGCCGUAAACGGUGGGAACUAGGUGUUGGCGACAUUCCACGUCGUCGGUGCCGCAGCUAACGCAUUAAGUUCCCCGCCUGGGGAGUACGGCCGCAAGGCUAAAACUCAAAGGAAUUGACGGGGGCCCGCACAAGCAGCGGAGCAUGUGGCUUAAUUCGACGCAACGCGAAGAACCUUACCAAGGCUUGACAUACACCGGAAACGGCCAGAGAUGGUCGCCCCCUUGUGGUCGGUGUACAGGUGGUGCAUGGCUGUCGUCAGCUCGUGUCGUGAGAUGUUGGGUUAAGUCCCGCAACGAGCGCAACCCUUGUCCUGUGUUGCCAGCAUGCCCUUCGGGGUGAUGGGGACUCACAGGAGACCGCCGGGGUCAACUCGGAGGAAGGUGGGGACGACGUCAAGUCAUCAUGCCCCUUAUGUCUUGGGCUGCACACGUGCUACAAUGGCAGGUACAAUGAGCUGCGAAACCGUGAGGUGGAGCGAAUCUCAAAAAGCCUGUCUCAGUUCGGAUUGGGGUCUGCAACUCGACCCCAUGAAGUCGGAGUUGCUAGUAAUCGCAGAUCAGCAUUGGUGCGGGUGAAUACUUUCCCGGGCCUUGUACACACCGCCCGUCACUUCACGAAAGUCGGUAACACCCGAAGCCGGUGGCCCAACCCGUUCGCGGGAGGGAGCUUCGAAGGGG